GUGAUCAGCAUCCAACACAGAUCACUCACCAUGGACUUGUGGCUUAUUUGGCUUAUCCUUGCUGUUAUUUUAAGUGGUGUCCAGUGUGAGGUGCAGCUGGUGGAGUCUGGAGGAGGCUUAGUGCAGCCUGGAAAGUCCCUGAAACUCUCCUGUGCAGCCUCUGGAUUCACUUUCAAUAGUUAUGAAAUGAGCUGGGUCCGCGAGGCUCCCAGGAAGGGGCUGGAGUGGGUUGCAUCCGUUAGCAGUGGUGGUGGUAGCACCUGGUAUACUGACGCUGUGAAGGGCCGGUUCACAAUCUCCAGAGACAAUGCCAAGAACACUCUGUACCUGGAAAUGAGCAGUCUGAAGUCUGAAGACACAGCCAUGUAUUACUGUGCAAGAGACACAGUAAGUGAAUGCUACUGUGAGCCCAGACAAAAACACCCCUGUGGGAAACAGAAGACCAGCAGGGAGCGCUGA